CAUCAGAUGACUGAAAGCAAGUAAUGGUCUCUUAAACCACUUUAUAGUAAGUGUAGCAACUACUUCUGAUGA
rnacentral:tRNA from 1 species